rnacentral:lncRNA from 1 species
UGAUGUUCGGUUCAUCCCACAUGGGAUGAGUCAGUGGCUCGUGGGCUGCAUACAGGCAGUUUUAGGUUGCAAUUGUGAUCCUUCUGAUGAACGGAUCCGCUUUACCGCCCACAGACUGUAAAAAAAAAAGAAAAAAAGUUUGGCUUUUUUCCCACGAAGCUUUGCUUCUCGCACUCUACCGCGCAGCAACCUUGGUGGAAGUUGUCAUUUUCCCAUUUUAGAGGAAAAUGCUAAUUGAAAAGGCCUCUGAAGUCCCAUCAGCAAAGAGAAUAUUUCAUUAAUGAGCGAGUUUACUCAGAACCAACACACACACACACACACACACACACACACACGCACGCACACACACGCACACACACACACACAGGGGUGUCUUCCUGCUUCUUUCUUCUCUCUCGGACCUUUGCGGAUCACAGAAACAGGCUGGAGUUCAGCGCGUCAUCUCGUCAAGUGCAAUAACGAAGGAAAAGGAACAGAAAAAUGCAACAAAAGCCAGAGUGUUUGCUGAUGAUCGUGGUUAACCUGGGAAAAACAAAGCAAGGUUGAGACGAGGCGGGAGCGAAGGCGAGCCACCAUCUCCAGGCUGUGACGCCCGUUUGAGCCGGUCGGAGCGACGGUUUUAAGGACAGUUCCUAGCUCCUACAGCCUAUUUUGACAAAGCGUGUUGACUCAUUCAUUGAUUUAUUCCCCCACAACAAUGUUUUCUGUCCCAAAGAACAUCUGUCCUGCUGCCAAAUGGACCUGGAUAAACGCUGACGGAGGUGUGAACAGGAGGUAUUUCUAUGGUACUCAACAGAAAGAAAUAAAAGCACAACUGUGAAAAUAUCUUUUAAGAACACUCCACGUCCACAUCUUGGUUUAUAAGUGUGAAGUGGAGGUAGGGAAUUCUCUCCUCCGCCAAGGACGAUAACGCAGAUGAGCUUUCAGCGGCGCCAUUGAAAGACUAAUGAGAUGGUACGAGCGGCUCGUUGGCCUCAUGUGUGUAAGAGUCCGUCCCAUCCUGGCCGCUCAUGCAGGAGCUCUUCCACCUGUCAGACUGGUGAAUAAAACACCACAGUGGUGUCACAACCACUGGUUGGUCCAGAUACGGAACCGUUAAAUCUCCCCAUGGUGACGUCUGACCUGGAGUCGUUUGGUCAGAUCCCCUCCAUUUAUUUACUUUUCUACAACUUUUUGACGAAAUCCGUCUUAAACUAGAAUCCAAG